UACGGAGGGUGCGAGCGUUGUCCGGAAUCACUGGGCGUAAAGGGCGCGUAGGCGGCCUGAUAAGUAGGGGGGUGAAAUCCUGCGGCUUAACCGCAGGGCUGCCUUCUAAACUGUCAGGCUAGAGCACGGUAGAGGCAGAUGGAAUUCCCGGUGUAGCGGUGGAAUGCGUAGAGAUCGGGAAGAACACCCGUGGCGAAGGCGGCUCUCUGGGACGGUACUGACGCUGAGACGCGAAAGCGUGGGGAGCGAACAGG
rnacentral:rRNA from 1 species